rnacentral:lncRNA from 1 species
CUUGAGGAACUGCUUGACCUUGAGGUUGGAGUCUGAGGAAAUAAAUGGAUUCAUGCGACAGUCAGAUUCUACGAGUGACCUGAAAGCUAAACCGAACUAAUCUCUCUAAAUUUGGUCCAAGAUUAAUUCAAAUAAAGGGAAUGUGUAAAAAUACAAGCACACAUCUGCGGAAAGAGCAAGGCUGAUUAUGAGAAGAUGGAGAGCAUGGACACAAAAUGCUGUAAUAUA